rnacentral:rRNA from 1 species
AAUAGAUACCCGGGUAGUCCACGCCGUAAACGAUGAGUGCUAAGUGUUAGAGGGUUUCCGCCCUUUAGUGCUGCAGCUAACGCAUUAAGCACUCCGCCUGGGGAGUACGGCCGCAAGGCUGAAACUCAAAGGAAUUGACGGGGGCCCGCACAAGCGGUGGAGCAUGUGGUUUAAUUCGAAGCAACGCGAAGAACCUUACCAGGUCUUGACAUCCUCUGCCAACCCUAGAGAUAGGGUGUUCCCCUUCGGGGGACAGAGUGACAGGUGGUGCAUGGUUGUCGUCAGCUCGUGUCGUGAGAUGUCGGGUUAAGUCCCGCAACGAGCGCAACCCUUGAUCUUAGUUGCCAGCAUUUAGUUGGGCACUCUAAGGUGACUGCCGGUGACAAACCGGAGGAAGGUGGGGAUGACGUCAAAUCAUCAUGCCCCUUAUGACCUGGGCUACACACGUGCUACAAUGGAUGGUACAAAGAGCCGCGAACCCGCGAGGGUAAGCCAAUCUCAUAAAGCCAUUCUCAGUUCGGAUUGUAGGCUGCAAC